rnacentral:lncRNA from 1 species
AGAAGAAGAAGAAGAAGAUGAUGAUGAUGAUGAUGAUGAUGAUGAUGAUGAUGAUGAUGAUGAUGAAUACGAAGAUGAAGAAGAAGUAGUAGUAGUAGUAUUAGUAGUACUAGUAGUAGUAGUAGUAGUAGUAGUAGUAGUAGUAGUAGUAGUAGUAGUAGUAGUAGUAGAACAAGAAGAAGAAGAAGAAGAAGAAGAAGAAGAAGACUAGAAGAACAAGAA